CAAAGGCGGAGCGUGUUGUCCUGCCAUCGUGCCGUCGGGGCUGUGGUGGCUGAACAGCGGGGGGUUUCACCAUGACCGCGGCGAUUAGGGAGUGGUUCGACCGAUUCCUGCACGAGAAGAACCGCAUGACCGCUGUGCUCGAGCAUAUCGAGAGCAAGACCGGCGUCAACCGCGCCUAUAUUGCCAUCGCUAUCGUCGGGGCGGUGGCCGUGUACCUGGUGGUGGGCUACGGCGCAUCCCUGCUUUGCAACAUCAUCGGUUUCGGCUACCCCGCCUACGUGUCAAUCAAGGCAAUUGAAAGUCCCAACAAAGAUGAUGACACACAGUGGCUGACUUACUGGGUUGUAUAUGGUGUUUUCAGCGUAGUGGAAUUCUUUUCCGAUAUCUUUCUGUUCUGGUUCCCUUUCUACUACAUGAUAAAGUGUGGCUUCCUGUUGUGGUGCAUGGCUCCAAGUGCUUCCAACGGGGCAGAGUUUCUCUAUCAUCGAAUUAUCCGGCCUUUCUUCCUGAAGCAUGAAGCUCAGCUUGACAGUGUUGUUAAAGACCUGAAGGACAAGGCUGCAGAGACUGCAGAUACCAUCACUAAGGAAGGUAUUUGGAAGAUCUUUGGAAGUAUAGAAGAGCUGCCAGUUGUGUAGUAAAGCAAAUCCUUUAACUCCAAUAAACAGCAGCAUGGGAAAUGAAGUUUUUCCCAUCUGUAAGUUUUUGUACUUCUUCUUCCUCUGGAGAUCAAAGGAUUCUGAGCCCACUCUUAAAGAAAUUACUUAGGAUUUUAUUUGCCAAGAAAGCAACAGUGAACUUACUGGGUGAAGAAAAGAAGAGCACUUAAGCUAUUAACUGGAUAAAGCUUCCCUACCACCUCUUUUAUGAAGCUUGAUGUUACUUGGAACCGUGGUAUACAUCUUAAUAAUAUUGCCUUGGAAACUUUUGAUAUAUUAAAGGAGUAUGUUCUAAGUUUGCUUACCACUUUUCUGUGUCUGACAGAAAGUAAGCGUUUUUAUUUAACAGCAAUGCAGCGGGCAGCAUCUGAAGCUUAAUGAACAUCGUUUACUCAUCUUCAUGAAGAAGAAAUCUUUCAGUAAUCUCUCUGCUUUAACAUAAAUAAAAAGUAUAUAUCCCA